rnacentral:snoRNA from 1 species
GCAGGAUGAUGUGUUAUCCAGUGUUAUCCAGUAUUUGAGCACUGAUAGCAAAUCUUGUUUCGCCUGAUC